GAGCAAACAACUUUAGACGUAGGAGUUGCUGGACUCGCUGUGGUCUGUCGCCUGUGGGUGGUGACGCUAGUGCUAGUGAGUGGUUUCCGUUUGCCGAGCUCUCGCGGCUCCCGAUCUUUGACUCCUUGUCCUCAGCGUUUCUGGUAGGAAUUUACUUGGAUCGGACUGUAGAUUCGUUGUAAUCGAUGCAGAUUUCAGGCCCAGUUGAUCGAGCUCGGUGAAGAGAGGAUUUCUCUCUCUCGAAUGACAUAAGAGAGAACUGAACUCAGUGGGGAAUCGAAAGACGUGUGCCUUCGCCGCUGCUUCAGAAAAGCUAGCAC
rnacentral:lncRNA from 1 species